GGGGUAGGUUCCUUCAUUUGAACAUUGUUUUAUUAAAAUUACGUUUCAUUUUCAAUUACUUUCGUAUAGCCAUGAAUGAGAGGGAAGGUAAUAUCAUGUUUCAUUUCAGAUGUCAUUUUCUAUAUGAAGGCAAAACAAUGCCCAACUAUAGUAGUCUAUGUAAUGAAAAUUUAUAGUUAAUUACAACUCUUAUUUGAUUGCAGGAGGAACUUGAAGAGAUCAGGGACAACUAUGUUUCUCAUCCUGAUAAUGUGCAGCGAAAAGAAGUCUUCCAAUAUAUACCGUUGAUGUAUUAAAUUUUGAUGAAACCAAUUUAUUAUUAACAUUAAUUAGUAAUGCUAUUUCAACAUAAGAAUGAUGCUUCAUUUACAUUUGGUAAUGAUUUUGACAAGGCUUAAUACAACAUCGUCCAUUAUGUGGGUACGAUAUUUGUUGCACAAUGUCCAGGAUUUAUUAUUGAUAAUGUGUGUUUAAGGUGUUAUUUACAAGGUAUUUUUUUUCACUUAAAAUAUCCAUUUCAAAAUAAGUGACAGAUUGAAACAUGCCCUUUUGGUGCAGGAACUUAGUCUAAACUACCCACUUAGAAUGCCUUUGCUACCACUUUCGUCUCUGCAGCAUGACUUCAACCAUAAAACUUUUUUUGGAGAUGGACUUAAUUCAAAAUGUCUUAGUACAACUUAAUUAAAGAAUUUUAUUCAAUAUAAUUGACUGAUAAUAAAGUCUCAGUAUUUCAAAAUAAGUUGUUCAUUUAACGAUGCCCUCUUGGUGUAGAAAGUUACCGUAAACUAUCCAGUUAUAAUGCUUUUGCUACCAAUUUCGUUUGUGCAUCAUGGAU
rnacentral:lncRNA from 1 species